ACUGAGACACGGCCCAGACUCCUACGGGAGGCAGCAGUGGGGAAUAUUGCACAAUGGGCGAAAGCCUGAUGCAGCAACGNCGCGUGAGGGAUGACGGCCUUCGGGUUGUAAACCUCUUUUAGUAGGGAAGAAGCGAAAGUGACGGUACCUGCAGAAAAAGCACCGGCUAACUACGUGCCAGCAGCCGCGGUAAUACGUAGGGUGCAAGCGUUGUCCGGAAUUAUUGGGCGUAAAGAGCUCGUAGGCGGUUUGUCGCGUCUGCUGUGAAAUCCCGAGGCUCAACCUCGGGCUUGCAGUGGGUACGGGCAGACUAGAGUGCGGUAGGGGAGAUUGGAAUUCCUGGUGUAGCGGUGGAAUGCGCAGAUAUCAGGAGGAACACCGAUGGCGAAGGCAGAUCUCUGGGCCGUAACUGACGCUGAGGAGCGAAAGCAUGGGGAGCGAACAGGAUUAGAUACCCUGGUAGUCCAUGCCGUAAACGUUGGGCGCUAGAUGUAGGGACCUUUCCACGGUUUCUGUGUCGUAGCUAACGCAUUAAGCGCCCCGCCUGGGGAGUACGGCCGCAAGGCUAAAACUCAAAGGAAUUGACGGGGGCCCGCACAAGCGGCGGAGCAUGCGGAUUAAUUCGAUGCAACGCGAAGAACCUUACCAAGGCUUGACAUACACCGGAAACGGCCAGAGAUGGUCGCCCCCUUGUGGUCGGUGUACAGGUGGUGCAUGGUUGUCGUCAGCUCGUGUCGUGAGAUGUUGGGUUAAGUCCCGCAACGAGCGCAACCCUCGUUCUAUGUUGCCAGCGGGUUAUGCCGGGGACUCAUAGGAGACUGCCGGGGUCAACUCGGAGGAAGGUGGGGAUGACGUCAAAUCAUCAUGCCCCUUAUGUCUUGGGCUUCACGCAUGCUACAAUGGCCGGUACAAAGGGCUGCGAUACCGUAAGGUGGAGCGAAUCCCAAAAAGCCGGUCUCAGUUCGGAUUGAGGUCUGCAACUCGACCUCAUGAAGUCGGAGUCGCUAGUAAUCGCAGAUCAGCAACGCUGCGGUGAAUACGUUCCCGGGCCUUGUACACACCGCCCGUCAAGUCAUGAAAGUCGGUAACACCCGAAGC
rnacentral:rRNA from 1 species